UAUUUCUCCGUACGGGGAAGGAUGAGAAGCUUCGACUAAGGUUCGAUUCGAGCGCAGCGAGAAAGCGUUGCCGCAGGCAACGACCCGAAGGGUGAGGAGCGGAGCGACGAAUAAUCCUUCCCCCA
rnacentral:sRNA from 1 species